UUAUUACUCCCUCCGUCCGGAAAUACUUGUCAUAGGAAUGGAUGUAUCUAGAUGUAUUUUAGUUCUAGAUACACUCAUUUUUAUCAAUCUGUGCGACAAGUAAUUCCGGACGGAAGAUAUCGC
rfam:Hordeum vulgare subsp. vulgare, WGS project CAJW01000000 data, contig: morex_contig_1557970